rnacentral:lncRNA from 1 species
GUCGUCACCACCCGCCUGCGGUUGGCCGAGUUGCCUUGAGAGGGGCAAGUAGACCCCGCCUUGGAGGUGGGUGGGAAGUGGCAGGCCCCGCCUUGGCUCCGCUGGAAGGCUCCCGCCAGCGUCGCUGCGACUCUGGCGGGGGAUCCAGCGCUUGGAGCCUGGAAGGAUGCGGCGCCCGCGGCGGCCUGGGGGUCCCGGGGGAUCCGGGGGCCUCCGGCUGCUCGUCUGCCUCCUGCUGCUGAGCAGCCACCCGGGAGGCUGCAGCGCCAUUAGUGCCCACGGUCAGGAGGAAACUUGGGGGGUGGGGGCAAUAUGGGGCUGGGAGCAAAACUCGGUGCGGGGGUGGGGUGAGGGAAAGUGUCGUGAAGGUAAGAAGCCCAGGUAGAAUAUGUGUAUGGGAUGGGGUGGAGGAGGCACAGCGCGACGAGGACACGAGAGGGACGAAAGGGGCGUAGGCCUGGAGGUGGGGCUGGGAAUGUGCGGGCGGGACCUAAGAGAAGUGGGCUCAGGAGAAAAUUGCUGGUUCAGGAGGAGAAAUGGACGUGCAUGGGGGUAGAGGGGCUUAAAGACGGGCUACAGGACCUCGGGAGCAAGUCUUGCCGAGGCACCAGGGAGGUGGUGACCCGUGGUGAAAAAUGGGGGGGGGGGGGCAGGGAGGUAGGAAGAGGGAGAGGUAACGGUGAUCUCUGGGCGAUAAGAGCUGGGGCCCGUAGGCAACCCCUAGAGGAUUGGGCUGGGGAAAAGGUCAGGAUUUCUCUUUAAGUCUAGAGAGACCGGUUGCUGAGAUCUAAUCUCCUAUAAGAGGGGCCAGCUGGGAGAGGGAGCAGAAGAGGAUGAAGAGGGGAGGGUCGUUCUCUGUACCCCUCCCCACAGCCAGGCCUGGUGCUGACUCACAUCUGUGCGGACAGAGGCUGUCAGCGCUGACUCACGGGCCGGGGGUGGGGGUGGGAAGGUGGCGCAUGGGGGAAGGGGCGCAGCCUCGCCAUCUGGCCCCCUCUUUCCCCACCCGGGCUUGGAGACCAACGCAGGGGUUCUUCCUGUGACGCUGUGGGUUAACAAGAUGGAGCGGAGGGGUCAGGUCCUCUGGAGACUCCUCUCCCGUCAACCCCUCCGUCUCCCGCAAUUCCCUCCUGACAAGCCCUUCCGCAGCUCCAGGCUUCAGCACCACGGACAGCGCAGCGGCACGGGUCUGGAACCGCUAGCCAGGAACACUCUGACCCUCUCCCUCCACGUGGGGGAGGUGCAUUAGACUUUCCGCCUUGUCUGAGUUCCAGGCUAUUAAACUUAGGAGGCUUUCGAAGAUUUGGGGAAGUAAAUUUUCCUUCUGGAUUUGGCCAAAAACUCUCCCAUAGUAAUUUUAUGAAAACAACAUGAUCCUCUAACACGACUGUCCCCGCCCCCGCCCUUGCCUUGGGCAAAUUGCUUUUCCGUCUGUGCUCAAGCAGCGUAAAGCAGAAAGGCUGCUGCUUCUCAACUCUCAGUAAAGCGACUGGAGGCUCUUAAGGAUUCGGACUUUAAAAUCCAGAGCCGGAUCUCAUGCUUUCUUCUGUUCAGGAUUCUAGGCCUCUUCCCUACUCUCCUCCCAGAUUAAAGGCUUUCUUAGAAUGAAAGAAUGGGCCCCGUCUGGUUUUCCUGUUUCCCUGCCUUUCCAUCCAUCCUAUCAUUCUGUGUGGGGGUGUCUGAGCUUCUGCUUACCUGUCCCUCUACAGGCUGUCUAUUUGAUCGUAGACUCUGCUCUCACCUCGAAGUAUGCAUUCAGGGUGAGUAAGACCCAGGCAUAGGACUCACAAGACAGAGAGGUACAACAAAAAACAAGUGGGAGUCCCAGAAGGGAGGAGAGGGACAGUCUUGGGAUAAGGAGCCCUGACCUUAAGGAACAAGGAGAAGGUGGAGAAAGUGCUAUUCAUUGGCAACCUGGACUUUGAUAGGUCUCUUGUUCAAGAUUUCUGAUGCCACUUUUGUCCUCUUAGAUGGCUUGUUUGGACAGUGCCAGGUGGGAGUGGGGCAGGCACGGCCCCUUUUGCAAGUCACCUCCCCAGUUCUCCAACGCUUACAAGGUGUGCUCCGACAGCUCAUGUCUCAAGGUAAGAUCUGGAUGCACUGGAGGAGAGAGAUUCAAGCUUGGUUAGAUAUGAGUGGGGAAGUAAGGGACCACCUGACCCAAAGACUUCUCUUUCUGAAAUAUUCUUGUCAUGCCAACUUCUGGAAACUCACCUUCCUAGAUCUUGCUGGAGAAGGGGACAAGAAAAGGAUGUGAUAAAAUCCUAAAGACUGGCUGUUCACAUCUGAACUCUGGACUCUAAAAGCACUGGAAGAAGCCAGCAUCUGUCUCUUUAGGUCCAGUUUUACUCCCUGGGACUGUCUGAGUGUUCUCCACAGAUUCUAAGGUCCUUAGGCAAGAGAACACCCCACUCAUUCAAUUCAUUCAUUCAGCACGUAUCUAUUGAGUAUUUACUAUGUGAGGGGGGGGGGCAGGAUGGGGGCAUAGUUCUAGAUGUUGGGGAUGUAACAGGGAAUAAAACAAAGAUCUCUGUCUAUUGGGGUUUAUGUUUGGGGGGAAGAAACACUAUAUUAGUUAGAAAAUAAAUAGUAUGCUAGAAGGUAAUAAAUGGAUAUUAGGGUAGGCUAGAAAGUGCCAUAGAACAUUACAGCAGAAUAAAGAGACCUGAAAUGGUGAAUUAGAAAGCUGCACUAUACAUUUUUGAAUAUAUGUAAAUUUUGAACAGACUGUAAGGAGAAGGGAGAGUUUGCCAGGAGGUUAUUCAAGGAAAGAGUGUUUCAGGCAGACCAAACAGCUAGGUCAAAAGCCCUAAGGCAGGAGCAAAUUUUAGGAAAACCAUGGAUGCCACUAUAACUGAUAGAAAAGUGACGGAAAGGAAAAAUAGAAGUCACAUUUGGGUAAGAAAUGGGGGAAGGAAUGUAGUCAUUGUAGGGACUCAAGGGAAUGUAUGGCAUUGGUUCCACUCUGAGUACAAGAGAAAACCAUUGCAGGGUUUUAGCACAGUUGUGCAUGAUCUAACUUCUAUUUUAAAAGGAUUAUUCUUGCUGCUGUGUUGAGAAUACACAGAAUGUAGAGAGAGUCAAGGUUUGAAGCAGGAAGUCCAGUGAAACCUGCCAUAAUAACUCGGGUAAGAGAUGAGUGUAGUUUGGACUAGGGCGAUGAUAAAAUACUAGAUAUGGCUGUAAAAAGAGAAGUCAGAAAUGACAUCCACAUUGUAUUGCCCAGACAACUGAAUCAGUGGAGAUGUCAUUAACUAUGAUGGGGGAAAUUGCACACACACACACACAAAAAAAAAAACUUUAGGUAAAGUUGGGGGAUGUUUAGUUUUUGAUAUGUUGAGUUUAACAUGUCUGUGCAGGUAGGAUGGAAUUCAAACCUGUGAGAUAGGAUUUUGAGAGAGAGGACCAGAAUAGAGUUAUAAAUUUGGGAUUCUUUGGCAUAGAGAUGGCAAAUAUAUCUAUAAGGUAGAUGGCUUAACCAAAGGAUUGAGUAUAUAUGAAGAAGAAGACUAAGGAUAAAGCCCUGGAGAAUUCUUUUUUUGUGUGUGAGAGUGGAGUGUCCAGGGAUUGAACUCAGGGGUGCUCUGUGACUGAACCACAUCCCCAGCCAUAUUUUGUAUUUUUAAAAUAUCUUUAUUUAUUUAUUUUUAUGUGGUCUGAGGAUUGAACCCAGUGCCUCACAUGUGUGAGGCAGGUGCUCUACCACUGAGCUACAGCCCCAGCCCCCCUAUUUUGUAUUUUAUUUAGAGAGAGAGUGUCACUGAGUUGCUUAGUGCCUCAUUUUUGCUGAGGCUGGCUUUGAACUCAAGAUCCUCCUGCCUCAGCCUCCCGAGCCACUGGAAUUACAGGCGGGCACUGCACCUGGCAAGCCCUGGAGAAUUCUAAUAACCUUUUCCCUGAAUUACAUUAUGAAGUGUCCCAUAAUACAAGGCCCGAAUUCUGAAGGGAGAGGGAAGAUGGAAGGAGGGAGUAGUCUCAAUGUUCCCAUUCAUAGUUUAAAUGUAUGACACAUUUUGAUUAAACUUAAAACAUUUGAUAUUCUAGUGCAAAUAUAAAUGGCAAAUUAGAAAGCUGCAGUGUACAUUUUUGAAUAUAUGUAAAUUUUGAACAGACUGUAAGGAGAAAGAAGAGUUUGCCAGGACUUUAAGGCCAAAAAUACAUUCUCCAAGUCAACUGCUCUGUGUGUAUGGCUCUGCAGGUCCAGUCCUCAGACUCAGACGGCUGUAUCAUCUGGAAUCUGUUAGGACCUAGGUGGAUGGCCAGUUUCCAGGCAGACUUUGUUAACUGUUAGAGUCCAACAUGUACAACAUGGGGGUACUGUGACCCAGACUCAACCACAGAAGGAAAGAGACUUUGAAGCUGAGCUUAUUUAGGUUAAGAAAGAAGGAGGAGGAAGAGGGUGAAAGGGGAGGAGGAGGAGGAGAAGGAGAAGAAGAGACUUAGAAUCGGAAGCUAGUGAGGUAGGAGGAGUGUUCAAUGUCCCAGAUGCCAAGUGAAAAUCUACCAAAGAGGGAGAGAUCAACAUUGUCAAAUGAUGAUGACAGGUUAAGAAAAAUGAGAUCUGGGAACUGGCCAUUGGAUUUAGAUAAGCAUAAUUCACUGCUGACAAUUCACUUUGGCGAAGUAGUAGUAAAAUCCUGAAUAGAGGGGCUGGGGCUGGGGCUUAGUGGUAGAGCGCUUGCCUUGCACACGUGAGGCACGGGGUUCGAGGCCCAGCACCACAUAUAAAUAAAUAAAUAAAUGAAAUAAAGGUAUUGUGUUCAUCUACAACUAAAAAAAAAUUUAAAUAUAAAAUAAAAUCCUGAAUAGAGUAGAUUGAGAGGGAAUGGGAGGAAAGAAAUUGGAUAGAGUGUUGUAGAUAAGUCUUUCAAGGAAUCUUGCUACAAAGAAAUGGGAUCAUAACUGAAGGGAAAUGUGAUGCUAAAUAGUAGUUUUUUUUUAGAUGGAAAAAUAUUGCAUCAUGUUUUUAUGCUGAUGGCAACAAUUCAGUAGAAAAUGGAGAAGAGGAUGAUGUAGGAAAUAGGGGAGAAUUUCGGGAGGGGUGUUCUUGAGUAGGUAAGAGGGAACAGAAUCUAGUGCUCAACUGGAAGAAUUAAGUUUAAAUAGGAGCACAGGUAGUUAAUCAAAUAUUAAAAGGCAAGAAGGCAGAUAGAGAUGUUGGUAGAUCCCAGAAUAUUUGUGAAGAGCACCACAGAUUAUAAACCCAGAACAUGGAAGAAAAAAUGGGGGUAGAGAGUGGGAGAUUAUUCUUUAAGAAUGGGUGGCUGGUCUUUCCUGAGAGCAGAGUUUCAUGGGGUUAAAGGGUCAAACAGAAGAUCUGCUUCAGGGUAAGAUGAUGAUUAUAACAAAUAUGAGAAUGAUAAUGAUGACAACCCUGAUGAGGAGAGGAUGUAGAGGUUUAAAGCAAGUGUCCACUGAUUUAGAGUUUUCUAAGCACUUUCAUUUCCAUGGUCACACUUGAUCCUCACAAUCACAUUGUGAGCUAUGUGAUAUUCCCAUAUGGAAACUGAGCUUCAGGAAAAUAAUAAUAAUAGCUAUAAUAAUAGCGUUGUUGCAAGUUCAUUAUGUGACAGGCACUAUUCUAUUUAAUAUAUGUUAUUUUAGUUAAUACAAAAAUCUUAGGAGAGGGCCAGGAUUGUGGCUCAGGGGUAACAUGCUUGCCUAGGAUGCGUGAGGCACUGGGUUCAGUUCUCAGCACCACAUACAAAUAAAUAAAAUAAAGGUCCAUCAACAACUAAAAAUUAUAUAUAUAUAUAUAUAUAUAUAUAUAUAUAUAUAUAUCUUAGGUGGUAUAAAUGCCCAUCUUAUGGAGGAGAGAAUUGAGAUAAUUGAGGCUCAGCAAUCUUCCCAAAAUCACUGAAUUUCUCAGUGGCAGAGGCAGAUUCAAACCCAAGCAGUCUGACUGCAAAAGCUGGACCUGAGGGUGAGAAAAAGCAGCUCAUAUCACCCUGUGGGUCUCCAGCCUCCUCCACUGUCUCUCUGCUCUGCCAAACUCAAUGCACUGCAGUGUAGGGGUUGUGCUUUUUGUGACUGGGCCCCCAGACUCCUCACCCACUCUCACCUAUCAUUGCCCAACAGGAUUAUCCUGGCAUGAUGACCUCACACAGUAUGUGAUCUCCCAGGAAAUGGAGCGCAUCCCCAGGCUUCG